rnacentral:rRNA from 1 species
UACAGAGGGGGCAAGCGUUGUUCGGAAUUACUGGGCGUAAAGGGCGCGUAGGCGGCCCGCUAAGUCGAACGUGAAAUCCCCGAGCUCAACUCGGGAACUGCGUCCGAUACUGGCGGGCUUGAAUCCGGGAGAGGGAUGCGGAAUUCCAGGUGUAGCGGGGAAAUGCGUAGAUAUCUGGAGGAACACCGGUGGCGAAGGCGGCAUCCUGGACCGGCAUUGACGCUGAGGCGCGAAAGCUAGGGGAGCAAACGGG